CUACGGGCCGCUCCAGGCGAGAAAACUUUGCAAUGUGCGAAAGCACGACAAGGUUAAUCCGAGUGGUUUCUGCUAAAGGAACCUUUUGACAGUCCUAGAAACACUGUUGAAUAAGGGGUGGGCAAGUUCUGGUGUCAGCCGCCGCGGUAAAACCAGCACCUCAAGUGGUCAGGAUGAUUAUUGGGCCUAAAGCAUCCGUAGCCGGCUCUGUAAGUUUUCGGUUAAAUCUGUACGCUCAACGUACAGGCUGCCGGGAAUACUGCAGAGCUAGGGAGUGGGAGAGGUAGACGGUACUCGGUAGGAAGGGGUAAAAUCCUUUGAUCUAUUGAUGACCACCUGUGGCGAAGGCGGUCUACCAGAACACGUCUGACGGUGAGGGAUGAAAGCUGGGGGAGCAAACCGGAUUAGAUACCCCAGUAGUC
rnacentral:rRNA from 1 species